GCACGUUGUUUACAUGAUUGCAAAUCGA
rnacentral:piRNA from 1 species